GACGAACGCUGGCGGCGUGCCUAAUACAUGCAAGUAGAACGCUGAAGGAGGAGCUUGCUCUUCUGGAUGAGUUGCGAACGGGUGAGUAACGCGUAGGUAACCUGCCUGGUAGCGGGGGAUAACUAUUGGAAACGAUAGCUAAUACCGCAUAAGAGUAGAUGUUGCAUGACAUUUACUUAAAAGGUGCAAUUGCAUCACUACCAGAUGGACCUGCGUUGUAUUAGCUAGUUGGUGGGGUAACGGCUUACCAAGGCGACGAUACAUAGCCGACCUGAGAGGGGGAUCGGGCACACUGGGACUGAGACCAGGCCCAGACUCCUACGGGAGGCAGCAGUAGGGAAUCUUCGGCAAUGGGCGGAAGUCUGACCGAGCAACGCCGCGGGAGUGAAGGAGGUUUUCGGGUCGGAAAGCUCUGUUGUAAGAGAAGAACGAGUUUGAGAGUGGAAAGUUCACACUGUGGCGGUAUCUUAACAGAAAGGGACGGCUAACUACGU
rnacentral:rRNA from 1 species